rnacentral:rRNA from 1 species
UACGAAGGGGGCUAGCGUUGCUCGGAAUCACUGGGCGUAAAGCGCACGUAGGCGGAUUGUUAAGUCAGGGGUGAAAUCCUGGAGCUCAACUCCAGAACUGCCUUUGAUACUGAGAAGCUUGAGUCCGGGAGAGGUGAGUGGAACUGCGAGUGUAGAGGUGAAAUUCGUAGAUAUUCGCAAGAACACCAGUGGCGAAGGCGGCUCACUGGCCCGGUACUGACGCUGAGGUGCGAAAGCGUGGGGAGCAAACAGG